rnacentral:rRNA from 1 species
UACGUAGGGACCAAGCGUUGUCCGGAAUCAUUGGGCGUAAAGCGCGCGUAGGUGGCCAUUUAAGUCCGCUGUGAAAGUCAGAGGCUCAACCUUUGAAAGCCGGUGGAUACUGGAUGGCUAGAGUACGGAAGAGGCGAGUGGAAUUCCUGGUGUAGCGGUGGAAUGCGCAGAUAUCAGGAGGAAUACCGAUGGCGAAGGCAGGUCUCUGGGCUGAAACUGACGCUCAUGCACGAAAGCGUGGGGAGCAAACAGG